UACAGAGGGGGCAAGCGUUGUUCGGAAUUACUGGGCGUAAAGGGCGCGUAGGCGGCCUGCUAAGUCGAACGUGAAAUCCCUGGGCUCAACCCAGGAACUGCGUCCGAUACUGGUUGGCUUGAAUCCGGGAGAGGGACGUGGAAUUCCAGGUGUAGCGGUGAAAUUCGUAGAUAUUGGGAAGAACACCAGUGGCGAAGGCGGCUCACUGGUCCGAUACUGACGCUGAGGUGCGAAAGCGUGGGGAGCAAACAGG
rnacentral:rRNA from 1 species